rnacentral:misc_RNA from 1 species
AGUAUUUUAUAGUAAUCCUUGGGCUUGGAUACAAGGGAAAGGAAAUCGAAAUUAAGGUGCGAGUCUGAGUCUUGGUCAUGGUCCUGGUGGCAAUCGCCCCAAUCGUCCCACAUCAUCAUGUUUCAGCCUUUGGCUUAGGCAAGAAAGACAGAAGGAGUCGCAGCUGUGGAAUAGCGAACCUUGAGUUUUGCUUGUAGCGUCGGUUGCGGUCGGGGAUAAACUCGGUCGUACGGCGUGCCGUACUGCCACGCUA